CUGGACCAUCCAAUGAUCGCCUUUUUCCAAUUGUGUCCGAUCAGAGUGAGGUUAGUCCCAUCUCGAAGAUCUCACUGUGCUGAGUUUAAAGGUGGUUUCGAAUCAUCGAUCCUAUAGUUCAUCUAGAAUCUAAUAGAAAAGCUUUGAAUCUACCCAUUUCCUCUCUCAUUGCCAGCGUCGGAAACAGACACCAAUUUCAGCGUGGUUGAUCCCAUUUGAAAGAGCUCUCCACUAGGAGUUUGUAGUCAUUAGAAUCACUCUGAUCGGAUAUCGGGGUCACUGGAUAUGAACAUUUAAAAUUUGGGACCCAUUUUCCCUCUUUAAAAAAAAAAACCACCGCUACUGCUGCCCAUUGCCACCGAUCCUUAGCUUGUUGGCGUCAUCUGAAGUUUCUAGUCACUCGCCGGUCGAUCACUGUCCAUGAGUAGGGGUGGCCACGGUUCAG
rnacentral:misc_RNA from 1 species